ensembl:snRNA U1 U1 spliceosomal RNA
AUACUAUCUGGCAGGGGAGAUACCAUGAUAAUGAAGGUGGUUUUCCCAGGGCGAGGCUUACCCAACGCACUUCACAUGUGCUGACCCCUGCAUUUCCCAUAAACUCAACUGCAUGAUUUGUGGCUGUGGGGUACUCCAUUUACAUUCUCCCCUA